AGAGUUUGAUUCUGGCUCAGGAUGAACGCUAGCGACAGGCCUAACACAUGCAAGUCGAGGGGUAUUGGGUCUUCGGACCCGAGAGACCGGCGCACGGGUGCGUAACGCGUAUGUAACCUGCCUUACACCGGGGGAUAGCCUUCCGAAAGGGAGAUUAAUACCGCAUAAUAUUAUAUAGCCACCUGGUUGUAUAAUUAAAACUUCGGUGGUGUAAGAUGGACAUGCGUAUGAUUAGCUAGUUGGCGGGGUAACGGCCCACCAAGGCGACGAUCAUUAGGGGUUCUGAGAGGAAGGUCCCCCACACUGGUACUGGAACACGGGCCAGACUCCUACGGGAGGCAGCAGUGAGGAAUAUUGCGCAAUGGGGGGAACCCUGACGCAGCGACGCCGCGUGAGUGAGGAAGGCCUUCGGGUCGUAAAGCUCUGUCAAGAGGGAAGAAGUGCACUAUGGUUAAUACCCGUAUUGCUUGACGGUACCUCUAAAGGAAGCACCGGCUAACUCCGUGCCAGCAGCCGCGGUAAUACGGAGGGUGCGAGCGUUGUUCGGAAUCACUGGGCGUAAAGGGCGCGCAGGCGGUUUGGCAAGUCAGAUGUGAAAUCCCAUGGCUUAACUGUGGAAGUGCAUUUGAAACUGCCAGGCUUGAGUACCAGAGGGGAAAGUGGAAUUCCCGGUGUAGAGGUGAAAUUCGUAGAUAUCGGGAGGAAUACCGGUGGCGAAGGCGACUUUCUGGCUGGAUACUGACGCUGAGGCGCGAAAGCGUGGGGAGCAAACAGGAGUAGAUACCCUGGUAGUCCACGCCGUAAACGAUGUGAACUAGAUGUAGGGGGUGUUGAUCCCCUCUGUGUCGCAGCUAACGCAUUAAGUUCACCGCCUGGGGAGUACGGUCGCAAGAUUAAAACUCAAAGGAAUAGACGGGGGCCCGCACAAGCGGUGGAGUAUGUGGUUUAAUUCGAUGCAACGCGAAGAACCUUACCUGGUCUUGACAUCCCGGGAAUUCCUAGGAAACUAGGAAGUGCCUUCAUCCGAAGGAACCUGGAGACAGGUGCUGCAUGGCUGUCGUCAGCUCGUGUCGUGAGAUGUUGGGUUAAGUCCCGCAACGAGCGCAACCCCCGCCUUUAGUUGCCAGCAGUUCGGCUGGGCACUCUAAAGGGACUGCCGGUGUCAAACCGGAGGAAGGUGGGGAGGACGUCAAGUCCUCAUGGCCUUUAUGACCAGGGCUACACACGUACUACAAUGGCCGAUACAAAGGGCAGCGACACUGCGAGGUGAAGCCAAUCCCAUAAAAUCGGUCUCAGUCCGGAUUGGAGUGUGCAACUCGACUCCACGAAGUCGGAAUUGCUAGUAAUCGCGGAUCAGCAUGCCGCGGUGAAUAAGUUCCCGGGCCUUGUACACACCGCCCGUCA
rnacentral:rRNA from 1 species